AAAUUCGUACCCUGCCCACGAUAAAACCAGUACCUAAUCAUGGAAUGCAAGCAUCAAGUUCAUUAUCAACAAAGCAUAUGUUUAAAAAAUAACGAUAAUUUAUCUCCUAAACAUAAAUUAGGGAAAUUAGACAGUACAUGAAACAUAAAACAUAACCUAAAAAUCAAUUCGAAAUCAAAAGUAAAAAAGAAGAAAAACGCUAACCUUGGAGACUGGGAGAACGAGGGAGGAGGGAGGAGGUGGAGACCGGGAGAGGGAGGGAGGGAGGAGGGAGGAGGGAGGAGGGAGGAGGGAGGAGGCGGAGACGGGAGAGGGAGGGAGGAGGGAGGGAGGAGAGAGGAGACCGGGAGAGGGAGGAGGGAGGAGACCGGGACCGGGAGAGGGAGGGAAGGAGGAGGGAGGAGGCGGAGACGGGAGAGGGAUAAUUAGAAGGGAGGAGGCUAGGGUUUCGCAGUUAAACCCGAAAACUUUAGCCGAUGAAAUAAUUAUUUCGUCGGCUAAAGCUACAAAUUUCGUCGGCUAUACAUCAAUUCGUCGGCUAAACCUUCUAAAUUCGUCAGCUAAAACUUUGAAAUUCGUCGGCUAAACUUUAUAAAUUCGUCGGCUAAAAGUAUUUUUAUACAUUUGGCACAUUGUGAUUGUGAUGAUCAAACUUGAGAAAAAUAAAUCCGACCGUCACACUGUCUUCUUAAUUGUAUUUUUUUUAGAUCAAUGUGUGCCUUAGGACCGUCUUUCGUCUUCCCCUCCAAGUUCAGCACUGUGCCCACCACACUGUCUCAAACAUUCUUUUCUAUGUGCAUCACAUCUAGGUAGUGCAUGAUCAACAACUUACUCCAGUAUGUACUUACAUUAGCAAUAAUGAAUGUCUUGAGAAUUUUUCAAAGUGAAACUAUUCUCCCCUUAUGGUUCAUAUUGAUUUACAAUCAAGAUGUACACUUACAUCGUCCUUAGAAACAUGGCAUAUUGUGCCGAUUUUGGUCCCUUCCUUUGAAGGUGACUCAUGGCACUGCAUCCUCAAGGAGGAUCGCCCACGUGUUUCCGGUUAAGUCUUCUACCCUAUAG
rnacentral:lncRNA from 1 species